GACAGAGGGUGCAAACGUUGUUCGGAAUUACUGGGCGUAAAGGGCUCGUAGGCGGCCAACUAAGUCGGAUGUGAAACCCCAAGCUUAACUUGGGAACUGCAUCCGAUACUGGAUGGCUUGAAUCCGGGAGAGGGAUGCAGAAUUCCAGGUGUAGCGGUGAAAUGCGUAGAUAUCUGGAGGAACACCGGUGGCGAAGGCGGGUCUCUGGGCCAUUACUGACACUGAGAAGCGAAAGCAUGGGGAGCGAACGGG
rnacentral:rRNA from 1 species